rnacentral:misc_RNA from 1 species
AGGAAAGCACAGCAUUGGUGUUCUCUUUUGGAUCUUAGCAAGGAUGGUACUACAGAUGCGUGGUACCAUUAGUCCUGGACCCAAGUGGGAUGUCAUGGUGGAUCUCUUCUUUUACAGAGAGCCUGAAGAGGCAAAAGAGCAACAAGAUGAGGAAGUACCUGCUAUUGCUGAUUAUGCAGAAUAUGGUGGCGCUGCUCUUGGUGGUGAUUGGACUAGCAGCCAAAUCCCUGAUGCCCAAUGGGCUGCAGAUGGUGCAACAUCUGUUCCUGCAGCUACUGGUGACUGGUCUGGAGAUGCAGUGGUUGAGGGAGGUUGGGAUGCUGCAGCUGCUCCUCCUGCUGGUGUACCAGAAGUGACCCCUGCUCCAGCUGCUGCUACUGGCUGGGAAUGAACUUGACUCCUUCAGAGAGUUCUUUUUUGUUAAUUUAGAUGUGAGUUCUUGUUACAGACGGUUUUGUUUACAAUGCAAUUUAUAAAAAUUUUGGACUUGUUGAUGUACGAAAUUAUUUUUAAUCAUUUAUAGCAUGUCUUUUUAGUGAAACCUUUU